rnacentral:rRNA from 1 species
AACGAACGCUGGCGGCAGGCCUAACACAUGCAAGUCGAGCGGGACCUUCGGGUUUAGCGGCGGACGGGUGAGUAUCGCGUGGGAAUGUGCCCUCCUCUACGGAAUAGCCUCGGGAAACUGAGAGUAAUACCGUAUACGCCCUUUGGGGGAAAGAUUUAUCGGAGAAGGAUCAGCCCGCGUUGGAUUAGGUAGUUGGUGGGGUAAUGGCCUACCAAGCCGACGAUCCAUAGCUGGUUUGAGAGGAUGAUCUGCCUCACUGGGACUGAGACACGGCCCAGACUCCUACGGGAGGCAGCAGUGGGGAAUCUUAGACAAUGGGGGAAACCCUGAUCUAGCCAUGCCGCGUGAGUGAUGAAGGCCUUAGGGUUGUAAAGCUCUUUCAGCUGGGAAGAUAAUGACGGUACCAGCAGAAGAAGCCCCGGCUAACUCCGUGCCAGCCGCCGCAGUAA